AAGCAAGACGCUUUAAAUAAAGUUUCGAUCGAACCUUUCUUGUCAACCAUGUCAACCUGAUAAAGCGGAACUAAGUGAAUUAGUUUUCAAAAGGUUAGCCAAAUUCCAAAAUGAUAAACAGUCAAUUUAGAUGCGAAUCAACCAACUUUAGUCUUUUGCCCCGCGGAUCACUAUUUUUUGUUUUGUUUUUUAGUUCUUUUAAAUGUCAUGGCUAAUCGCAAUUCAUGAUCAAUGAAAGUAGCAUGUGGAUCAAUAGUUGGGAUACUCCAUUGCCAGGGUUGAUUGAUAGAGACGUACAAAUAAUGAUUCACCAAUUGAAUAGGACUUGGUGUAAAAUAUCGAUUCACACCGACGAAAUUCGAUUUUAAAAUGAGUGUGUUGCUGAAGAUAGUAGUCCACAAGUUAAACAACAAAUAUAUCAGUGUCUUCUUCACUUGUGUUCGAUUUGGACUGUUGAGACAUGUUAGCUGCCAUUGCUGAUAGCUCGCUCUGCCGCCCCUCCAUCAAUGUUCAGCUUCGUUUCUUUCUCCCUAUAGUCUCUUUAUUCGCCACCCAUUGUAACAGCCAUCGCCUCAUCUCUGUCAUGACCAGACCCGCUGAAGAAAACACAGGUUGGAUGUGCUCCAUCGAUUUUGGAGAGAAACACAAGCUGCGGGAUGCUAGCUCGAUUAAUUGGAGAGAAACAUGUUCUAUCCCCUGCAAUAUCGUGUUCAGCUCGUAAAACAAUGGGAGCAUGCGAUCAUAUUUUGUUUGAAAAACCAUGUCUAUGUCAAUGGAGAAAUGUUAAAGGUGAGUUGAAGCUGGCCGAGACUUAGGUCAAGGAAUCUUUAAUAGGCAUGGACCCCAUGGCGAAGAAAAUGUUGGUCGAUGAUGUUACCCCAAUGUUGUUGUAUGAAUCCAACCCAUUCAAAAUAAAGAAAGAAGGCCGGUGACAAAUGAUAAUUUGGAGUCGAGUUUAACGCGCAAAAUUAUGACUAAUGGUCAAUGUAAAAUGAUUUGAUCUUAGGUAUUCACCCAGAGCUUACUUUUUAUCUUA